AGUGCGCUAAGUUGGGUAUGAAGUCAUGACCGGUACACCCUCAGUAGUGCACUACAUAUUCACUUCUGAGUCAUUUGCGAUUUAACCAUCACACGUUCUGUAAGUACAGGUGGAAAAGUGUGGCCAGUCCUCUAGAUCAACAUUACCGUGGAGAUGUAUACAAUACAGACUAAUAUGUCUGUUUUAAUAAAUAUUUCUCUAAAGGCUAAAGGGAUUGCCCUGUAGUUGGCUCCAUCCAUUCUGCCCUCAACCAUUUUCCCAGUUCCUGCCGAUGAAAAGCAUCCUCACGACACGAUGCUUCCACCACCACCAUUCUUCACAGUGGGGAAUGUGUUUUCAGGAUGCCAUUGUUCCAUAAAGUUCAGCUUUAUGGAGUGUCGAGGCUAUGGCUCUCCUUUGAACAAUUUCUCCCAUCUGAGCUGUAGAUCUCACCAUCUCCUUCAGAGUUCCCCUUGGCUUCUUAAUUGCUUUUGGUGGACAACUUCUCUAGGCAGAGGAGUUAUCUGCAGUAUCCAGACUGCGUUUCAGCGGCAGGGAGCCGACAUGUUGAGUCUCGCAUUUUCUCGCGAGAUUCGGUUGAGCGCUCACGCUACUCGGGUUGGUCUGGGUACCUGGUGACCUCAGGCUGUAACCACUGUGAGCACUUCUCCACCUGUGAUGUACAAAGAAUAGAGGAUUGUAGCCUCUCAGCCAUCAGCCACACUGCAUGUGUGGAAAAUGCACACCUCCCUCAGGCUCGUUAAUUACAUCUGUUGUUUUAAGUGUCAGUAUUUACCCUAGGUUAUUUAAGACAUGCUGAUAUUUUUAGAUAUUGAGAUUAUUUUAGACACACUGACUGCUUGAAAAAAAAAAAAAAAAAAAGAAUGUAGUUUGACUUUAAUGUCUUUGACUUCCAGCAUCUAGGGCAGAGGAGUGUUGCAGUGGUUAGUGUUGCUGUCUCCCAGUUCCCAAGAUCCCUGGUUUGAGCCUGAGUUCAGAUUACUGUAUCUGUGUAGAGUUUUGUGUUUUCUCCCUGUGAUCUCAGUUUUCUUUCAUUUGAUCAGGAUAAAGCAGUUAAUAAAUAAGGAUUUUUAGAACAACUGCAUGUAGGUCAAGGCACUGGUGUAAUACUAAUACUAUCCAUAGUAAUACUAUGGAUAAUCCUAAUGGUUAGAUUUAGAUUUCACAACAAGAUCAACAUUUAUUUCAGAAAAGAAUUUUAAUCCUUCGCACCUCAGCUGAGAAUCCCAUUCCUGCCAUAUUUUUGCAUAAAACCCUAAACAACAAUAAAUUUCACAGCUUAAUGAUAGAAACAAAGUUAGAAAUGUUGUUAAAAGAAGAGUAGAAAUUAAGUGUCAUCAGCUUGGCACUGCAUAACGCACAUAGACUUGAAACAUUAGUGACAGAAUUAAUCACCUCGGGCAUCUUAAAGAGAAUUUCUUGUAUAAACUAUUUAGUACAGUGAUACUAAGUGAUCGCAUGUACAAUAAACUGAUUUCCAAUGGUAACUGGUGAUGAUGCCACUUGGUUUAAACCCACUUGGUUUAACUGGAGGAGGCCAGCUGAAACAAACAGAACCCGUUUUAGCAACCAGUUUUGUUUGCAGAAAUUUUUUAACUUUACUGGAGUUAUAAUACAUUCCAGCAAAAAAUCAGAUUUUUUUUUUUUUUCCAAGUAUAAGGUAAAAGAAUUUGUCUUGGUGUGUUACACAUUAUCAGAUGAAUUACACAGACAAUUACAAGAUGGUAAAUAAGUGGAGGGGAGGGGAAAAGGUAAAUAAAUGGAGCUAUAAGAAGAACCAUGGUGUAGCUAAAAGAUCUCUUUGAUUAUAUUCAAGCGUACAUGUAGUCACACUGUUACAUGGACAUUUGUACAAUGAUAUAUGCAUAUUUACAGUGUGAUAUAGACAUAUGAGAUAUAGAUGUCUGCUGUGCUUAAUGAUGGCCACUGCUCUAGGGAAAAACUAUUCAUUUGUCUCACUGUAUUGGCUUUGAUGGCCCUGAGUUUUCUACCGGGAAGAAGUGGAAAGAAAAGAUGGUAUCCAAAGUGAGAGGAAUCAGCUACAAUCUUUCCAGUGAGCUUCAUAACCCUGCUGUUGUAGAUGUCCUGAAGUGAUGGGCGACUACAUCAGAUAAACUUCUCUGCUAAGGAGCAAUGUUCUGGGGCAGCCGUCUGUGGUGCCAUCUGGGUUUCUUGGUUCGAACAUCAACAUAAGUGAAAUAAAAAGGUGUGUUUUAAUGUGAAUACAUUUGAAUGACUAUAUACUUUCAGUUUACAUGCUUAUUAUGUACAGCUAACUUGUAUCUACAUGAAUUUGCCUUUACAAUUUGUAUACAAUUACUGACCGGAGCCUACCUGUAAUUUGUCCUCAUU